UACGCGCAUGAUAAUAACAUGCAAUUUAUCGUGCAGCCCUACUCUCCCCUAUGCCUAAAUCAUACACAAAAUCAUUUUGCUGUGUUUCCCACAGGAUUUUUUUGAGACUAUGGAGGAUAGCUGGACCUUGGUCUGCCUGGGGGAUCUGGGGCCAUGGCCUUGUAUUCAAAGGAAAGGUGAAAAAUGAGGAAGUCUGGGAACCACUGAAGAAGGCAGCCGUGAGGGACGGAAGUAAUCAUCAGAAUGUGCCAGAGAACGAUAUUGGCAGUACAGGCUCAGGAUGGCGAAGAGGAGGAAGAACAUGUUUGAUUGACAUGAGAGUACUCGGGUACUAUGGUCCUUUGGUAAUGACAAUAUUGUUUAGGUUUUGCUUUUGAUAGUGAAGCAGUAUUAAAGCACAUCACCAUCAGAUAUUUGUAGCAGGUGUUUCAUACACAGGACACUCAGGAAACAAAUUAACUUAAAGUAAUAAAGAAGUCACUACUAAAUUGUUUCCUUUUUUUUUUUAUGAGUAUUGAUUAAUUAUUAAUCAUUUUUACAGAUAAAAUCGUUAACUAUACCCAUCAGUAAUGAGUAAAAUUUACAUGAUUUAUGUAUUGAUUUGUUAAAUUAUCUGUGCUCAUGACUUGGUAACACUUUGCAUGGUUAAAGAAUAGGUGUAAUGUUCAAAAUGUUUUGGCUUAGUGUUUGUAGAAUUAACACUGAAUAAAUGCUGAUUAAUAAAUGAAUGCACUGUUUUUGCUCAUUUAAUGUUUAGAAUGUAAUGUUUUUGUAAUGGUUUGCAUGUAUGUAUUGAAUAUAUUCACUAAAAUCUCCUAUAACGAUUAAAAAAA